AGAACGAACGCUGGCGGCAUGCCUAACACAUGCAAGUCGAACGAGACCUUCGGGUCUAGUGGCGCACGGGUGCGUAACGCGUGGGAAUCUGCCCUUCGGUUCGGAAUAACAGUUAGAAAUGACUGCUAAUACCGGAUAAUGACGUAAGUCCAAAGAUUUAUCGCCGAGGGAUGAGCCCGCGUAGGAUUAGCUUGUUGGUGGGGUAAUGGCCCACCAAGGCGACGAUCCUUAGCUGGUCUGAGAGGAUGAUCAGCCACACUGGGACUGAGACACGGCCCAGACUCCUACGGGAGGCAGCAGUGGGGAAUAUUGGACAAUGGGCGCAAGCCUGAUCCAGCCAUGCCGCGUGAGUGAUGACGGCCUUAGGGUUGUAAAGCUCUUUUAACAGGGACGAUAAUGACGGUACCUGUAGAAUAAGCCCCGGCUAACUUCGUGCCAGCAGCCGC
rnacentral:rRNA from 1 species